rnacentral:rRNA from 1 species
CCUACGGGGGGCAGCAGUGAGGAAUAUUGGUCAAUGGGCGCGAGCCUGAACCAGCCAAGUCGCGUGAGGGAAGACGGUCCUAUGGAUUGUAAACUUCUUUUGUCGGGGAGCAAAAGACGCCACGCGUGGCGUUCCGAGAGUACCCGAAGAAAAAGCAUCGGCUAACUCCGUGCCAGCAGCCGCGGUAAUACGGAGGAUGCGAGCGUUAUCCGGAUUUAUUGGGUUGAAAGGGUGCGCAGGCGGAAGAUCAAGUCAGCGGUAAAAUUGAGAGGCUCAACCUCUUCGAGCCGUUGAAACUGGUUAUCUUGAGUGAGUGAGAAGUGUGCGGAAUGCGUGGUGUAGCGGUGAAAUGCAUAGAUAUCACGCAGAACUCCGAUUGCGAAGGCAGCAUACCGGCGCUCAACUGACGCUCAUGCACGAAAGUGUGGGUAUCGAACAGGAUUAGAUACCCGUGUAGUC